rnacentral:rRNA from 1 species
UACAGAGGUCUCAAGCGUUGUUCGGAUUCAUUGGGCGUAAAGGGUGCGUAGGUGGCUUGGUAAGUUGAAGGUGAAAUCUCGGAGCUCAACUCCGAAACUGCCUUCAAUACUGCUGAGCUCGAGGAUUGUAGAGGAGAAUGGAAUUCACGGUGUAGCAGUGAAAUGCGUAGAUAUCGUGAGGAAGACCAGUGGCGAAGGCGGGUCUCUGGACAGUUCCUGACGCUGAGGCACGAAGGCCAGGGGAGCAAACGGG